ACCAGGUCGGUUGGGGUGGAGUUGAAUUUAAUCAAAUUUCGGAAAUAUGGAAAUUGUUUGCCUUCUACUUAUAUCCUGUUUGCAAAGAUUAAGAACUUUAGAAAAAUUUAAUCCAAAGACAUUUACGAUAAUGAUUCUUAUUCUUAUAUGAAUGUUGCAUUAAACUCUGAUUGAUGUGAUUAUUUUUCCAAGUUUGUUUUUUAAAAUAUAAUAAUUUUUCAAUAAGUUGUCUAGUCUUAAUCUUUAAACUUUAGGCUAUUGAAACUAUUAAUGUAGAAGACAUUAUAAAAAGAAUGGAACCUCAUCGAAACAUAUCCUGGAUGUGAUUUGAGGGGCAUUCGAAAAGUAUUGCUUGAGGCUGAAGAAUAUCAUCGUUAUCACUCACGUAAAAAUGCAUGGAUUGAUACAUGAGAUCGUUUAUGUAGCUUUUGCAUUGGCAAUAAAUUCGCAUUAAAUUAUGAGUGAUUUG
rnacentral:sRNA from 1 species